rnacentral:rRNA from 1 species
GGGCCCGCACAAGCGGUGGAGCAUGUGGUUUAAUUCGAUGAUACGCGAGGAACCUUACCAGGGCUUAAAUGUAAGUUGCAUUAGUUAGAGAUAGCUAUUUCUUCGGACCACUUACAAGGUGCUGCAUGGUUGUCGUCAGCUCGUGCCGUGAGGUGUCAGGUUAAGUCCUAUAACGAGCGCAACCCCUGUUGUUAGUUGCCAGCGAGUCAUGUCGGGAACUCUAACGAAACUGCCAGUGCAAACUGUGAGGAAGGUGGGGAUGACGUCAAAUCAUCACGGCCCUACGUCCUGGGCUACACACGUGCUACAAUGGCCGGUACAGAGAGCAGCCACUACGCGAGUAGGAGCGAAUCUAUUAAAACCGGUCUCAGUUCGGAUCGGAGUCUGCAACUCGACUCCGUGAAGCUGGAAUC